GGGAAUUUUGGACAAUGGGCGAAAGCCUGAUCCAGCAAUGCCGCGUGUGUGAAGAAGGCCUUCGGGUUGUAAAGCACUUUUGUCCGGAAAGAAAUCCUCUGGGUUAAUACCUCGGGGGGAUGACGGUACCGGAAGAAUACGCACCGGCUAACUACGUGCCAGCAGCCGCGGUAAUACGUAGGGUGCAAGCGUUAAUCGGACUUACUGGGCGUAAAGCGCGCGCAGGCGGUUUUGUAAGACGGAUGUGAAAUCCCCGGGCUUAACCUGGGAACUGCAUUCGUGACUGCAAGGCUAGAGUAUGGCAGAGGGGGGUAGAAUUGCACAUGUAGCAGUGAAAUGCGUAGAGAUGUGGAGGAAUACCGAUGGCGAAAGCAGCCCCCUGGGCGAAUACUGACGCUCAUGCACGAAAGCGUGGGGAGCAA
rnacentral:rRNA from 1 species